rnacentral:rRNA from 1 species
AUGCCAGAGGACGUCGAGAUGAACGACUCCGCCCAGCCCGCCCUCGCCGCCGCUCCUUUGGCCGUCGACGCGCCCGCACCUGCUCUCUCCACCCUGCAGCAUCUGAAGGAGAUCGCGUCCGUGGUCGAGGCGGGGUCGCUGACCAAGGAGGUCCGCCAGAUUUCCCGCGCCGUCCGCCUCACCGUCGCCCUCCGCCGCCGCCUCGCCGCCCCUAACGUCGCGGCCUUCCUCGCCUUCGCGCUGCCCCUUCCUCCGAGGCCUUCACCCGCCUCUUCCCGUUCCUCCCCAAGGUAG